AGAAAAUGAACAAAUGAGGAGUUACCAUCUAAGAAAGAGACGGUGCAACCCGCACAGUACAGAAAUUUGACUUAGCUGAAGGGUGAGGGUUAGCAGAAACAGCUCAUUAGAGGAGUCUGGCACAAGAAUUUGGAAAGAAAUCGUGCUUUCAAAGGCAUAUUCUCAUCUAGAACCAAAAAUAUAACCGCAUGAAAGGCUCGAUGACUGCUGAACAUUGCUGAAAGCAUCUUUUCUAUUUCGGAAAUCCGAGGAAAGCUUUCUUCCCUCCCGAGCCACCGCUGCGGUGUCUCCCACGGGCAGAGCCACCAUAAAGGAUCAUUCUCCUUUGGUUCACUCAGCGGCGCAGGAAACGACAAGUUAGAUGUCACAGAUGUGCACCGCCAAAACAAGGAUCCUGUGACAGCACAUCAGUGAGCAUUCAUUUGCCAUAUCCUGCACGAGCAGCACGACAGCCCGGCUCCAGAUGAAGGGGUGCCCUUGCUCAGAGUUCGGGAGACAUUUACUGGAGCAGGGACAAGCCUGGCACCGGACUCGUAUUCCACAACCUUCCGAAGAACCAGGAGAGUAAUUCCAAACUUUUUAGCUCUGUUCCAACUCCAACCCUGUUAGAAGCUGUGGGAUUUCCAUGUACUUCCAGAAGUCUGCGUUUUAUCACAAGAAAUUUACUACAGCAUUUUGGACAGGACUUGCAGGAAACUAUUAAUAAAGCCUCAAAAAGGCUCUUUUUAAAAUCCUAAAUAAGUUUCAGUUGUGGUACUGAAAAUACAAGACAUCCUGGCAGUUUCAACUACAUCAAAUAAUCCUCAGAUACAUCAUUUAUUAAAACAUCCAAGGACUUUCUACGCUCUCUCCUUUCUCGUGCUUUCCCGUCCUCUGUCAAUUUUUUUUUUUUUUUUUUUUUUUGCUUUUGGCAUUCCAGCUAUCCAUCUCUUAAUUAAAGACCUUUCGCGCAAGAUGGCGAAUGUUUAUUUUGCCUGUAACUUUCAGUUUGCAAUUUCUUCAUCCAAAGCCCUGACUGCAGACAGCUGAAAGAUUCCUGAGCAGAUGAACAACGGUGCUGGAGGCAGAGGGGGGAGAGCUGCACCACCUUCCCCUGCUUUCCUUGGGGGUUUGCACACGGGAGGAAACAAAUUACUUCUGGAGUGGAAAGCUCCUGAAAGGCAAAACCGCCCCAGAGAGCACACGGCCCAGCACAACGCAGGGUGCUGCUGUCAUCGGUGCGAGACCCGAGCAAAAUCACCUCGGGCUCCUGGAGCUCAGAGCACGCUGCAUUGAGUAAAUAGAGACCUACCAGACCAGAUGGAAGAGACAUCUAGAUGGAAGAGAGCCUGCCCUCACCAGCAGCAAGUAAAGGAGCCGCGUGCAGCGCUGCGGCACGGAGCUGCAGGAGUGAGCAUGGAGCCCGUUCCAGCCCUCACUGCACGACGCCCGCAGGCUCCAGAGUGCAUGGUGCCAGUGGUGGCCUCCAGCAGGAGCUGUUCUUGCCAUCAGUUAUUCUGGGUCACUGCGUGACAAGCUCAGAGCAAAUAACAACGUGUGGGCUCUAAAGUUACGGUCCUGCCUCCCAUGUGAGCUGGGCUCUGCUUGGUAGGCUAAAAUUGUCGUUUCAGAUAAUGCCUUAAAACAACCUUCGAUCAGAGCAAAAUGACAGGGUUUAUAACAUGGAUGAGUGCGUUAUAGUCCGUCUUUGAUUUUUUGUGCAUUAGUCUGUUCCAUUACAUUAAUAGGUCUGUGGAGCAGUCCAUGCCUGAUCUGAUUUUAUGAAGUCUACCUUGCACAUUUACCUAUCAUUACUGUAGUGUUGUCAGCAAAUAUAUGAACAAGCAGGGCUCUGCAUUUCAGAACUGAUGCAUUAAUUUUUAAAUAACCAUCAUGAUAAAAGACUGACAAGCCCAAUUCUCUUUAUGCCCUGUCCAACAUUACAUGGGAAUCUCCUAUAAUGAGCAUCUUCUAGAAAACCGCACAAGACUUCCAAUGCAAUCAGUCAGGGCUCACCAUUGCAUCACAUUAGUCAAUUUGACAAGAAUAGCCUAAUCGGAGACUAUUAAUCAGAAACUUUCUUUGGCAUUUGCCCAGCUGAAAAUGCAGAAUAUUGUUCAGAUCUAAUAUUAAUCACCAGCUGCUAGAGUAAUGCCUUUAAAGUUACAAAGGUUGCAGAGCAGUACAGAAGAUUAUGACUAAGCAAGCAUCUUCCUAUUCUAUUCCUGGAAGUCAAAGCACUUCACUUGAAUAUCAGCCUGCCUCAAAGAUCUCAGAACAACAUCUCUUCCUACCCUCCAAGCACUGCGUGUGCAGCUCAAACACCCACAUGGGCCAGAACGGCUCCCGUGCAACAUCCAAGUGAGGGAAGUGCUAAUUAUUCUGAGUUAGAUGAAAAGCAGUCUCUUGUUUCUCCAGGAAAACACACAGGCAAAUGCAGCAAAGUUAUUUCAGAAAUAAAACUCACAUAGCUUUGCUUUGAAACAGAGUUUGAAACAAACAAACAAACAAACCGAGUAACGGUGCAGCUCCAGCAGCCAGCGAGCACAGAUACCCCGCGCUGAAUUCCCAAACCUGCCCCAGGAAAGCCAGGUGCAGAGCUGCACUGCCUCUAACUCAGAAGGGUGCUCAGUAUGUAGGGAAGAUUAUGCUCAAUGAUCUUGAAAACAUUUUCCAGCUUGAAUCAGAGGAUCAGAGGAGUUUUGUUGUGAAAGUGACAGUGGCUGAGUUUGUACAUACACAAUUGUUAUUUUCUAUACAGAGCUUCCCCCCAUACAAAUACAGUCUAGCCAGGGAUCGAUGCUUCCCAUGAAAUUUAUACUUCACUGCUCACAGGCAAAAAUAAGAGAAAAUCUGAUCCAUGUUUUUCAGAAGCUCUCUUACAAAGAGCUGAACGUAACAUACCACAGAUUGGUCUCCCGCACCUCAGGCUGAGUGCCAGCACACUGAAGUCAGUGCAAACAUCUCUCACUUAUCUAACAGGCUCUGCACAUUUCCUGAAAAACGUUGUAAGAUACAGGGAUUUCUUGAGUCUAAUCAAAAUCCACAGCCACAUUUGGCUAAAGAAUACAAAAACAAUUGAUACGGAAAGCUUUUAUUGCUUUACCUUCACCAGCACCUUCCAGCUAAUCUUCAAUAUGGAGCUGAAAGGUGUUUCAGAACCUACCGCUUUACUUUCUCACAGCAGGCAACAGAGCUUUGCCUAUGAAAGAACCUAACAAGUUCUGACCUUUACUGUAUCUUUACAGAGUAUUCCCAGUUUCAAACCAAGACAUAUCAGAGCGCAACGUGGGCCUCAAAGGGGUAACGCUGAUUAAAGUGCUCCCUCCUUUCAGAGAUGCUCCGCUCCUGUCAGAACAAACUUUGCCAUGUUUUGAAAUACUUGUGAUUUUUGAAACACGUUCAUUACAAAUGAAAAAAAAACAAAAAGCUACGCUCAAAAGCCAGCGACGCCAUCCACAAGUAAUUCGGUUCUUAAAAACAAACAAACAAAAGUAAAGCAGUUUAAAGAUAUUAACACAGUAUUUUCAGAGCGACUAGCUUAGCUUUAGUACUCAAGACACACUGUAAGAUGUGCCAUGACGUUAUGAAAAAUAUUUCAGUAGGUUUUAGUAAUACCUGGUGGUGCAAAUACUGCAGGGAAGCGGUUCUGCUUGCAAGGGCACCUCUCCCACCUGCCUCAUCUCUCCAAACAAGAUCACGGGCUCCCAAGAAGUCUCAGCAUUAUUUAAAAGGUGCCUGGUUUUUAAGUAUCAGUCUCCAAAAGUUUGCAUUACUUGGGGGAUAAUUUCAGAUAUUUUUGUAGAAUAAUUUGGGAAUUAGAUCAACUUUCAGGAAUAAAUUUUUGUAUUCUGUCCUAUUUUCAGGAGACUUUAGCUGUUCUUAGUCCUCCGCGAUCUGUGAGAAGACACAAAGCUUCCCAUGUUCUCAGCUGUCAAGGAUAAGCUUCUUUAGAUGGAUGAAGAAACGUUAAAUCAUAAAAACUAGAUUUGAUAUAGCUUUUCUUUACAUCGGGAUUAUAAAGCGAACAAACGAAACAACCCGAAACCUGAGCAGCUCAGCUCAGAGAAACCACGAGAGCAACUCAGCCAGUGCUUCCUCUGCUUCAGCUGUGCAUUAGUGGCAGAAACACUGAAGAUUUGCGAGUGCUUGACAGGAGACAAGCAGGCUGUGUCCCAAGCACAGCCCUGGCAGAUUAUGCCAAGCAAAAUAAAAAUGAAGCUGAAGUGAAAGGCAUUAAAAUGUACCUUAAAUUACUUCAAAUCUCAGUAAGGUACCCAGACUAAUUGUCUCAAGGAAAACAAAAGUUAAUCUAAUUAUUCCUACAAAGUAGAACAUUUUCUGCAUAGUGUUUCAGUUGUUCCUAGCAGACCUGUUCAUUUAAGAUCGCUAUUUCAAAUUUUUUUUUAAGUUACAGACACAACCUUACAAGACUUUCAGUCACAAUUCCCACAUGUAGGUAUUGCAAUAUACCUGCAGUAACUGCAGCAAUUGUUUCUUACAUGAACAGCAACUCCAAAAGCCAAAGUUUCUCAAGAUGCAAUGCAAAGAAUAUUGGCUGUUGUAAUAUUAGCCAGAUUUCUUGUGUGUGUGUGUCUCUCUCUCCCCAAAAAAAAAAAAAAAAAAAAAAAAAAAAAAAAAGAUGACAAACUGGCUCAGCAAGCCAAUAAAAAUAAAGGAAAAAAACAACAAACAACCUAUUUAUGAAUGAGUUCCUCUCGUGUCAGCAGAGUUGCUCCCCGUUCACCUGCACAUCCAACAGGAAACUGGGGGGACGUGUAGCACCCUAUGCACCGACCCAUGGCAGAAGGCUUGCCUUGCACACAUCCCAAAAGGGGAAUCUGCUCCGAGUUCCUUCUUGUCCAAGAAUGAUUAACAAGUCAUCUACUACAAGACCAGGCUAUACUGUAUGAAGUUCUUCUCUUGUUAGUUUUAGCUUUCCAAGAUGCAAAGCCAAUCAGAAGCUUUGGAUAAGCCAACUUUAUUUGGCAAAAGAACGAGCACGUUACUCAGUUCCACAGUUAAAUGGCCCAUUUUAAUAUUAAUGAAAAUCCUCUGUAUUUAUUGCAUUUAUUGUGUUUAUUAAUCCUCCUACUAAAAUAAAAUAUUUCCUUUUAUUGUUAAGUUUUCCAAAGUCCAUGCAGUAUUUAGAUGCUCCCUAUUUAUAAUACCAUUGUAAUAUUUAUAAGUAAUUAGGCUUUAUAGCAAAACCUAACAGCGGGGCUAUUCUAACAUGCCUGUUAUUCACACUGUAGCUGACCAGAUCUACCUCUGGACGCCCUCCUCAGAGAUUACCAAAAUCAAGCCUGGACACGAAUGGGCACUGCAAACAAAGCAGGGCAGAGCGGGAUCAUCUCAGCCCUGGGAGUGCUGAAGCAUGAAGGAGCACGGCCUGGGGUGAGGUGCUGCCCGCAGUGCCACACAGCUGCUCCGGGGACACGGUGGUGUGCAGCGGGGGAAAGAAGACCAGGGAUGCAGCAGAAGGCAGCGGCUGUGGGCAGGAGGUGCCCAGCUCCCCAGAGCAGCCACCCCGCCAUCGCACAGGGCUCACCAGCCUCUCCUGAGCUGUGUACGGGCAAAUCUUUCAUUUUUCUUUCAUUACCCCGGCAUGUACUGUCACUUAAUUUUUAUGUAUGCAAUCUUUCCUGACAAAUAUGAUCUGCUGCCUGGUAAUUCAUCUGACGUUCAUUCUGCUCCUUGCUCUAAUUACGGCUCCCAUCCCCGGCACGGCGGCCCAGUGGUACACCUGCCAGGCGGGUCGUGGCGUGGCCGAACACCCCUUUAUGCCAGUCCGAUGUUGGCAAAUGCAACGGGAGAGAGAAAUGAGAUGGCUCUAUUUGCAUAGCCCCACGCUGGAUUCAUGGGUCAGUGGCCAGCGGCAGGCCUGGGCUGGUUGCCGGGGCAACAGGGCUGCACUGAGCACCCGGCUCAGCCCGGCCUGCGCUGCCAUUCCUCACGGCUACUGACACAAACGUCUUCAUCAUGCCAAAACCGGGAUCAGAAGCUUUCCUGCUGCCACACAGCCUAUGUGCCUGGCAAACGGAUGAUAAACAAAUAAACACAGCUUUAAGCAUGCAGUACUUCUUGAUUGCAAAUGCGCUCCUUUUACUUGGAAGGAGGACUGUGAGCGGCGGUCUCCCCGUCCCCACACAGCACAUGUUGCCUCCAAAUCUGCUCGCUGCUGCCUGGCAGCGCUCUGCAUCCCACCUACCCGUUUUAAGGGUGCUGCUGGUGAGGAGGGGCAGAGGAGGCCCAUCUCUUCCUAAGGAGCUCUCAAAAGCAGAGAGCAGCGCUGGUGACAGCCAUGGGCCUGGCUGCUGUGUGCAGCUGGCUUCCCGGCCCCAAUUUAUUCUUAUUAAUGUAGUAAGCGCAGCAGUCAGACUAGAUAACAUCACAUAAUUAGACAGUCACAUUUUUGCCUGCUCAGAUGAUGAGGUUAUAACUUUCUGUGAAGAGGAUUCAUUUUAACCUUGUGAGUUUAGUGCACGUAUCCUAGGAUAACUUCAUGCAAAGGGAAAUCUAACCUUUUAUGAAAGUUAACUGGAGGAAUACCUAAGCUUCUUCUAAGCACAUACAAAAUAAGGCAUACAUCUUCCUUCUUUGUGUGCUUAGAAGCCCCAGUGUCAUCACUCUCAACUAAGUUUGUAUUCAUAUAAAGAAACAACAGAGCAAGAGUUGCACUCAAUGGAGGAAAUUGAACGGGUGAAGACAAAUAGGGAAACAAAGAAAUUCUGUGUUCCAAAAUCAAUAGAGCGCACUACGUGCUGAGGAGCAAGGGUCCUCCUCCGCUGGAACACGGAAGGGCCUGACUCAACAGACACGUCAACACGAAUGGAAAAACGAACCACCUCUCAAGUGCAGGCACUUAGAGCAAAACUAACAAUUAUGAAAGAUUUUAUACUGCAAGCCAAAGAAUGAGCUCUGCAUAAUGUACACUUUUCCACAGCACUGUAAUUAAUGCUAAUAAUAAAAUUUUUAUGAAGGA